rnacentral:rRNA from 1 species
GAUGAACGCUGGCGGCGUGCCUAAUACAUGCAAGUCGAGCGAACAGACGAGGAGCUUGCUCCUCUGACGUUAGCGGCGGACGGGUGAGUAACACGUGGAUAACCUACCUAUAAGACUGGGAUAACUUCGGGAAACCGGAGCUAAUGCCGGAUAAUAUAUUGAACCGCAUGGUUCAAUAGUGAAAGACGGUUUUGCUGUCACUUAUAGAUGGAUCCGCGCCGCAUUAGCUAGUUGGUAAGGUAACGGCUUACCAAGGCAACGAUGCGUAGCCGACCUGAGAGGGUGAUCGGCCACACUGGAACUGAGACACGGUCCAGACUCCUACGGGAGGCAGCAGUAGGGAAUCUUCCGCAAUGGGCGAAAGCCUGACGGAGCAACGCCGCGUGAGUGAUGAAGGUCUUCGGAUCGUAAAACUCUGUUAUUAGGGAAGAACAAAUGUGUAAGUAACUAUGCACGUCUUGACAGUACCUAAUCAGAAAGCCACGGCUAACUACGUG